AAGUCGUAACAAGGUUUCCGUAGGUGAACCUGCGGAAGGAUCAUUAAUGAAUAACUUGAUGUGGUUGUAGCUGGCUCUUAGGAGCAUGUGCACGCCCGUCAUCUUAUCUUUCCACCUGUGCACACUAUGUAGAUCUGGAUAACUCUCGGUCUUCGGGGCGGAAACAAGGAUUGCUGCGUCGCAAGGCCAGCUCUCUUUGAAUUUCCAGGUCUAUGUUUAUUACAAACUCCAAUUGAAUGAUGAAGAAUGUAGUCAAUGGGCUUCGUGCCUAUAAAACACUAUACAACUUUCAGCAACGGAUCUCUUGGCUCUC
rnacentral:misc_RNA from 1 species